UCGGGGCGUGGCGCAGUUUGGUAAGCGCACCUGCAUGGGGUGCAGGGGGUCGGAAGUUCGAAUCUUCUCGCCCCGACCAC
rnacentral:tRNA from 1 species